AUCACCCCUCAAGCCUAGCUUGGUGUUGAGACCUGCUGUCAAGGCAGUCUCUAAAAUCAGUGGCAGUGCUGUCAGGCUCUAAGCGUAGUAAAUUCAUCGCUAUAGACACCUGGUGGACACUCGCCAGAACCCCCCCAUUUUUUAAUGAUUGACCUCGGAUUAGGUAGGGAUACCCGCUGAACUUAAGCAUAUCAAUAAGCGGAGGAAAAGAAACCAACAGGGAUUGCCUCAGUAACGGCGAGUGAAGCGGCAAAAGCUCAAAUUUGAAAUCUGGCUCUUUUAGGGUCCGAGUUGUAAUUUGUAGAAGAUGUUUCGGGUGUGGCUCCGGUUUAAGUUCUUUGGAAUAUUACAUCAUAGAGGGUGAGAAUCCCGUAUGUGACCGGCAGCCUUCGCCUAUGUGAAACUCUUUCGACGAGUCGAGUUGUUUGGGAAUGCAGCACAAAAUGGGAGGUAUAUUUCUUCUAAAGCUAAAUAUUGGCCAGAGACCGAUAGCGCACAAGUAGAGUGAUCGAAAGAUGAAAAGCACUUUGGAAAGAGAGUUAAACAGUACGUGAAAUUGUUGAAAGGGAAGCGCUUGCAACCAGACUUGCACGCAGUUGAUCAUCCGGUGUUCUCACCGGGGCACUCUGCUGCGUUCAGGCCAGCAUCGGUUUUGGUGGUUGGAUAAAGGCCUUGGGAAUGUGGCUUCCUUCGGGGAGUGUUAUAGCCCUCGGUGCAAUGCAGCC
rnacentral:rRNA from 1 species